rnacentral:rRNA from 1 species
GGCCAUUAACCAAGAUUAGCUCACCACACCCAAUCCGCCAGAGAACUACACGCAAAAGCUAAAAACUCCAAGGACUUGACGGUAUCCUAACACCCUAGAGGAGCCUGUCCCAUAAUCGACACCCCACGCUGAACCUCACCCCUCUUAGUCUCACAGCCUAUAUACCGCCGUCGAAAGCCCACCCUAUGAAGGCCCCCCGUGGGCAAAACAUGCCCCUCCCCCUAGCACGUCAGGUCAAGGUGUAGCCAAUAGAGGGGACGCGUGAUGGGCUACACUCCCUACCACAGGGCCCUGUAAGAAACAUGAAACACCCCCCCAAAGAAGGAUUUAGCAGUAAAUUUAACAAGCACUGUUAACUUGAACCCUGCUCUAGGAUGCGUACAC